AUUGAACGCUGGCGGCAGGCCUAACACAUGCAAGUCGAACGAGUGGCGGACGGGUGAGUAAUGUCUGGGAAACUGCCCGAUGGAGGGGGGUAACUACUGGAAACGGUAGCUAAUACCGCAUACCAUCGGAUGUGUCAGAUGGGGUUGGCUUGUAGGUGGGGUAAAGGCUCACCUAGGCGACGAUCCCUAGCUGGUCUGAGAGGAUGACAAGCCACACUGAAACUGAAAGACGGUCCAGACUCCUACGGGAGGCAGCAGGGGGGAAUAUUGCAGAAUGGGCGCAGGCAUGAUGCAGCCAUGCCGCGUGUUUAAGGAAGGCCUUCGGGUUGUAAAGUACUGUCAGCGAGAAGGCGUUACUCGCAGAAGAAGCACCGGCUAACUCCGUGCCAGCAGCCGCGGUAAUAC
rnacentral:rRNA from 1 species